UACGAAGGGGGCGAGCGUUGUUCGGAUUACUGGGCGUAAAGGGCGCGCAGGCGGUUCUGUUUGUCGAGUGUGAAAGCCCCGGGCUCAACCUGGAACUGCGCUCGAACGCGGAACUAGAGUUCGGGAGAGGAGAGUGGAAUUCCCAGUGUAGAGGUGAAAUUCGUAGAUAUUGGGAAGAACACCGGUGGCGAAGGCGGCUCUCUGGACCGAUACUGACGCUGAGGAGCGAAAGCCAGGGGAGCCAAACGGG
rnacentral:rRNA from 1 species